AUGUGUGGGCAUGAAGAAGAGACACUGUUUCAUUCCUUGGUUACCUGCACACAUGCACAACUGUUCUGGGCAGAGGCACUCAGAUUUUUUGGUUGCAACCCUCCUACGUUGCUACCUCUGACUUGGACUAGGGAUCUCCUCGACCCCAACUUCAUCGCAAAGGGGGAUGCAGCCAUUGUAAUCUCGGUGAUGUGGGCAAUAUGGAGCGACCGCAACAAGUACACUCAUGGGGAGCGGCAGUACCAACCGAUCAGGUCCAUGGAGCUCAUUCAGGAGCACCUGAGAGCCCUGAAUAUACCAGCCAACGACAAGAUUGUACAGCGACAGAAAGAAAGAUGGCAGGCCCCGGCAGAAGGUGUGGUGAAGCUAAAUGUGGAUGCUGCAACUGAUGCUAUGGGUCACAGAGCUGGGACGGCGGUAGUGGCAAGAAAUCACAAAGGAGAGUUUCAGGGAGGGAGAUAUGUCUCAUACGAGGGGCUGGCUGAUCCAUAUGUGUGUGAAGCAAUGGGGUGCAGAGAUGCUAUGUUGCUAGCUAUGGACAGAGGAUGGCCAAGGGUGGAGAUCAUAUCAGAUUGCAAACCAGUAGUAGAUGACCGGAACGCCGGGAUACACUGUUCGGUGGGUGGCCCUAUCUUCAGAGAGAUGUCCUCAUAUCUCUCGCUUUUUCAAGGGGUAGAGAUUCAGCAUAAUUCCAGAGAGGCCAAUGAAGCAGCUCAUGUUUUGGCUACGUAUGGUGUUACUACUGAGAUGAGUAGCAUGAACUUUUUUACUACCCCUGUAUUCCUAAGUGCAGCUUUGCACUCGGAUUGUGUACGGUCUAUGAAUGAAUAA
rnacentral:rRNA from 1 species